UACGUAGGGUGCGAGCGUUGUCCGGAAUUAUUGGGCGUAAAGAGCUCGUAGGUGGCCUGUCGCGUCGGCUGUGAAAACUCGGGGCUCAACUCCGAGCUUGCAGUCGAUACGGGCAGGCUAGAGUUCGGCAGGGGAGACUGGAAUUCCUGGUGUAGCGGUGAAAUGCGCAGAUAUCAGGAGGAACACCGGUGGCGAAGGCGGGUCUCUGGGCCGUUACUGACGCUGAGGAGCGAAAGCGUGGGGAGCGAACAGG
rnacentral:rRNA from 1 species